rnacentral:tRNA from 1 species
AGCAGAAUGGCUUACUGGAUAAAGCAUGGGCCUGGGAGUCCGAAGAUCCUGGGUUCUAAUCCCAACUUUGCCA